GUGCUCGCUUCAGCAGCACAUAUACUAAAAUUGGAAUGAUACAGAGAAGAUUAGCAUGGCCCAUGCGCAAGGAUGACAUGCAGUUUAUAUCUUA
rnacentral:snRNA from 1 species